ACUUGGAGGAAUGUAUAGCAACAGCUAUUUGUGUACUAAUACUAUGCAAAAUCAACUAUGUUGAAUAAAGUUCUGGCUAGAUUAUGAUUAUGACAUUUUCUAACCAUGUGUCUUGACCAAAUUACGUGCCAGCAGUCGCGGUAAUACGUAGAAGACUAGUGUUAUUCAUCUUUAAUAGGUUUAAAGGGUACUUAGACGGCAGAUAAAGCCAUAAUAGGUACUAAUCUGCUAGAGUUACUUGUAAGGGGGCUAUUAAGUACUAAUGGUGUAGGGAUAAAAUUUUUUGAUACCAUUUUUGGAAACAAAAGUAAUGGCACUGGUAAAGGCGAAGGCAUCCCCCUAUGUGAUAACUGACGUUGAAGGACGAAGGCUUUGGGUCGCGAUAAGGAUUAGAUACCCUAGUAGUCGAAGCAGAAAAUGAUGAGUGUC
rnacentral:rRNA from 1 species